rnacentral:tRNA from 1 species
UAGCUCAAUGGUAGAACCCCCGCUUCACAUGUGGGGAGACCCGGGUUCGAUUCCCGG